AGGGGUACAGCUGGGAUACAAAGUGAAAAAACUGUAAUUCAUAUAAAAAAUAAAGUGGUAUAAAAACAUCAAUUCGUUUUAAUCCCAUGGAUAUUAAUCAAACCUAUUUUCAGACUAGGCUGUUUCCAGUCUGUUGCAGCACACAGGGUUGUAACAUUUCCACAAGUAGAUUUUAUUUGUUCAUUUUGCUUUUGAAUUAUUUCCCAAGAUAACUGGCAGAAGCAGAAUUGCUGCAUUCCCUUUCCAAAGCUCCAUCAAUUUGUCCUCCCUUAUCUCUGAAGUUUAGCUUUUAUCACAGGCUUUUAUCUUCAUCCUGAAGGCUAAAGGUUAGUGUUUUCCAUUGGCAAUUAAGUUUGCACCACAUUAAACUCUAUUUGGCCUUUAUUCUAAUGCCUGUAAUAUCAUACUCCUCUGAAUAAACAUAUGAGAAGUUGUUUUAUCCUUUUGGGAAAGCAUGUUGCUACUUUGCUCAUGUGACAGUUAUCAAACUCCUACUAUGUGUCAGGCAAUAUGCAAAGUUAUAGUGAUGAGUCAUGGACAUUAACAGAGCUCCUUCCCCUGACGAAGUGACAAGUCUGUAUGGGAGACACGUAAACACACAGCCUAUACUAAGAAAUAUACUACACAAUGUCAAGCUUAUUUGCUAACCAAGAUUAUCGUCAGAAUAUUUGGGUUUGCCAUCUGGAUAUUUGGGGUUGGGGGGGAGGAGUAUACAAAGUUUCUUUGCAUGUCUCUGACGAGUGUUUUUCAUUUGAAAACAUAAUGAGAUUUGUUUUUUGUUUUUUUUUUUUUUUUUUUUUAAUCCAUUAAAGCACUGUGAGGUUUCAAUGACCUAACACUGGGCUUACACACUGUAAGCACUCCAGAAACACUGCCAUGAUGACGGUGACGUGGGUUAUAGUGAAUUGAUGUGCUGCUAUGUGGCCCUCGCCCUGAACUGACAUGUCCGGAGACAUUUCAUUUUACAUGUAAUGAUGAAACCCAGCCUGCGUCCUGAUGGUGAUAAAUGUUUACAUGAACACCUUGUACCUAUAGAAAGGAGCAAUGCAGUGAAGACUUCAGCUUGCAGACAGCUAUCCAGGACACCCCAAAUGACUCAUCGGCCUGGAGAGGAUCAGUUACCCCCAACAAGAUGCUCAGGCAGCUGGUGAGGUUUCCAAAACUCAUUCCUUCAGUCAGCAAGUUUGGAUUAGAGUACCUGCCAAGAGGGCGUGUGUGCCAACUGUUUCAUAAUUUAAUAAAAAGCUAAUCUUUUGAGCGCA